rnacentral:rRNA from 1 species
AUUGAACGCUGGCGGCAUGCUUUACACAUGCAAGUCGAACGGUAACAGGGAGCUUGCUCCGCUGACGAGUGGCGAACGGGUGAGUAAUAUAUCGGAGCGUACCCAAGAGUGGGGGAUAACGUAGCGAAAGUUACGCUAAUACCGCAUACGAUCUAUGGAUGAAAGUGGGGGAUCGCAAGACCUCAUGCUCCUGGAGCGGCCGAUAUCUGAUUAGCUAGUUGGUGAGGUAAAGGCUCACCAAGGCGACGAUCAGUAGCUGGUCUGAGAGGACGACCAGCCACACUGGAACUGAGACACGGUCCAGACUCCUACGGGAGGCAGCAGUGGGGAAUUUUGGACAAUGGGCGCGAGCCUGAUCCAGCAAUGCCGCGUGAGUGAAGAAGGCCUUCGGGUUGUAAAGCUCUUUUGUCAGGGAAGAAACGGGAGUGGCUAAUAUCCAUUCCUAAUGACGGUACCUGAAGAAUAAGCACCGGCUAACUACGUGCCAGCAGCCGCAGUAA